CCUACGGGGGGCUGCAGUGGGGAAUAUUGGACAAUGGGGGCAACCCUGAUCCAGCCAUGCCGCGUGUGUGAAGAAGGCCCUCGGGUUGUAAAGCACUUUCAGUGAGGAAGAACGCCUGGUGGUUAAUACCCAUCAGGAAAGACAUCACUCACAGAAGAAGCACCGGCUAACUCCGUGCCAGCAGCCGCGGUAUUACGGAGGGUGCGAGCGUUAAUCGGAAUUACUGGGCGUAAAGCGCGCGUAGGUGGCUUGAUAAGCCGGUUGUGAAAGCCCCGGGCUCAACCUGGGAACGGCAUCCGGAACUGUCAAGCUAGAGUGCAGGAGAGGAAGGUAGAAUUCCCGGUGUAGCGGUGAAAUGCGUAGAGAUCGGGAGGAAUACCAGUGGCGAAGGCGGCCUUCUGGACUGACACUGACGCUGAGGUGCGAAAGCGUGGGUAGCAAACAGGAUUAGAUACCCUUGUAGUC
rnacentral:rRNA from 1 species